UGGGGAAUUUUGGACAAUGGGCGAAAGCCUGAUCCAGCAAUGCCGCGUGUGUGAAGAAGGCCUUCGGGUUGUAAAGCACUUUUGUCCGGAAAGAAAUCCUUGGCUCUAAUACAGUCGGGGGAUGACGGUACCGGAAGAAUAAGCACCGGCUAACUACGUGCCAGCAGCCGCGGUAAUACGUAGGGUGCAAGCGUUAAUCGGAAUUACUGGGCGUAAAGCGUGCGCAGGCGGUUUGCUAAGACCGAUGUGAAAAUCCCCGGCGUCAACCUAGGCACUGGCAAUGUGAUGCUGGCAGGCUAGAGUAUGGCAGAGGGGGUGAAAUAUCCACGUGUAGCAGUGAAAUGCGUAGAGAUGUGGAGGAAUACCGAUGGCGAAGGCAGCCC
rnacentral:rRNA from 1 species